CAGCCGCCGCGGGAAUACGUAGGGUGCAAGCGUUAAUCGGAAUUACUGGGCGUAAAGCGUGCGCAGGCGGUUAUAUAAGUCAGAUGUGAAAUCCCCGGGCUCAACCUGGGAACUGCAUUUGAGACUGUAUGGCUAGAGUGUGUCAGAGGGGGGUAGAAUUCCACGUGUAGCAGUGAAAUGCGUAGAUAUGUGGAGGAAUACCGAUGGCGAAGACAGCCCCCUGGGAUAACACUGACGCUCAUGCACGAAAGCGUGGGGAGCAAACAGGAUUAGAUACCCCGGUAGUCCCUGUCUCUUAUAC
rnacentral:rRNA from 1 species